UCCCCUAGUAACUGCGAGUGAAGCGGGAUGAGCUCAAAUUUAAAAUCUGGCGGUUUUGCCGUCCGAGUUGUAAUCUGGAGAAGCGUUUUCCGCGUCGGACCGUGUACAAGUCUCUUGGAACAGAGCUUCAUAGAGGGUGAGAAUCCCGUCCAUGACACGGACCGCCGAUGCUUUGUGAUACGCUCUCGAAGAGUCGAGUUGUUUGGGAAUGCAGCUCAAAAUGGGUGGUAAAUUCCAUCUAAAGCUAAAUAUUGGCGAGAGACCGAUAGCGAACAAGUACCGUGAGGGAAAGAUGAAAAGCACUUUGGAAAGAGAGUAAAACAGUACGUGAAAUUGUUGAAAGGGAAACGCUUGAAGUCAGUCGCGUUUGCCGGGACUCAGCCUUGCUUCUGCUUGGUGUACUUCCCGGUAGACGGGUCAACAUCGAUUUUGGCCGACGGAUAAAGGGGUUGGGAAUGUGGCACUCUUCGGAGUGUGUUAUAGCCCUUCUUCCGCAUACGCCGGCCGGGAUCGAGGACCGCAGCGCGCCUUAAUGGCCGGGGGUUCGCCCCACGUUACGCGCUUAGGAUGUUGGCAUAAUGGCUUUAAGCGACCCGUCUUGAAACACGGACCAAGGAGUCUAACAUGCUCGCGAGUGUUAGGGUGGAAAACCCUUGCGCGUAAUGAAAGUGAAAGUUGGGACUCUCGCGAGGGAGGCACCGACGCCCGGCCCUGAAGUUCUCUGACGGUGCUGCGGUAGAGCGCGUAUGUUGGGACCCGAAAGAUGGUGAACUAUGCCUGAAUAGGGCGAAGCCAGAGGAAACUCUGGUGGAGGCUCGUAGCGAUUCUGACGUGCAAAUCGAUCGUCAAAUUUGGG
rnacentral:rRNA from 1 species